rnacentral:rRNA from 1 species
ACCAGUACCGUGAGGGAAAGGCGAAAAGAACCCCGGCGAGGGGAGUGAAAAAGAACCUGAAACCGUGUACGUACAAGCAGUGGGAGCCUCUUUAUGGGGUGACUGCGUACCUUUUGUAUAAUGGGUCAGCGACUUAUAUUCUGUAGCAAGGUUAACCGAAUAGGGGAGCCGAAGGGAAACCGAGUCUUAACUGGGCGUUAAGUUGCAGGGUAUAGACCCGAAACCCGGUGAUCUAGCCAUGGGCAGGUUGAAGGUUGGGUAACACUAACUGGAGGACCGAACCGACUAAUGUUGAAAAAUUAGCGGAUGACUUGUGGCUGGGGGUGAAAGGCCAAUCAAACCGGGAGAUAGCUGGUUCUCCCCGAAAGCUAUUUAGGUAGCGCCUCGUGAACUCAUCUCCGGGGGUAGAGCACUGUUUCGGCAAGGGGGUCAUCCCGACUUACCAACCCGAUGCAAACUGCGAAUAUCGGAGAAUGUUAUCACGGGAGACACACGGCGGGUGCUAACGUCCGUCGUGAAGAGGGAAACAACCCAGACCGCCAGCUAAGGUCCCAAAGUCAUGGUUAAGUGGGAAACGAUGUGGGAAGGCCCAGACAGCCAGGAUGUUGGCUUAGAAGCAGCCAUCAUUUAAAGAAAGCGUAAUAGCUCACUGGUCGAGUCGGCCUGCGCGGAAGAUGUAACGGGGCUAAACCAUGCACCGAAGCUGCGGCAGCGACGCUUAUGCGUUGUUGGGUAGGGGAGCGUUCUGUAAGCCUGUGAAGGUGUGCUGUGAGGCAUGCUGGAGGUAUCAGAAGUGCGAAUGCUGACAUAAGUAACGAUAAAGCGGGUGAAAAGCCCGCUCGCCGGAAGACCAAGGGUUCCUGUCCAACGUUAAUCGGGGCAGGGUGAGUCGACCCCUAAGGCGAGGCCGAAAGGCGUAGUCGAUGGGAAACAGGUUAAUAUUCCUGUACUUGGUGUUACUGCGAAGGGGGGACGGAGAAGGCUAUGUUGGCCGGGCGACGGUUGUCCCGGUUUAAGCGUGUAGGCUGGUUUUCCAGGCAAAUCCGGAAAAUCAAGGCUGAGGCGUGAUGACGAGGCACUACGGUGCUGAAGCAACAAAUGCCCUGCUUCCAGGAAAAGCCUCUAAGCAUCAGGUAACAUCAAAUCGUACCCCAAACCGACACAGGUGGUCAGGUAGAGAAUACCAAGGCGCUUGAGAGAACUCGGGUGAAGGAACUAGGCAAAAUGGUGCCGUAACUUCGGGAGAAGGCACGCUGAUAUGUAGGUGAAGUCCCUCGCGGAUGGAGCUGAAAUCAGUCGAAGAUACCAGCUGGCUGCAACUGUUUAUUAAAAACACAGCACUGUGCAAACACGAAAGUGGACGUAUACGGUGUGACGCCUGCCCGGUGCCGGAAGGUUAAUUGAUGGGGUCAGCGCAAGCGAAGCUCUUGAUCGAAGCCCCGGUAAACGGCGGCCGUAACUAUAACGGUCCUAAGGUAGCGAAAUUCCUUGUCGGGUAAGUUCCGACCUGCACGAAUGGCGUAAUGAUGGCCAGGCUGUCUCCACCCGAGACUCAGUGAAAUUGAACUCGCUGUGAAGAUGCAGUGUACCCGCGGCAAGACGGAAAGACCCCGUGAACCUUUACUAUAGCUUGACACUGAACAUUGAGCCUUGAUGUGUAGGAUAGGUGGGAGGCUUAGAAGUGUGGACGCCAGUCUGCAUGGAGCCGACCUUGAAAUACCACCCUUU